rnacentral:lncRNA from 1 species
GGUAAGAUAUUUAUUUAAUUUAUUAAUAGGUUUCUUUGAAAUAUUUCAUGCUUGUAUAUGGAUAAUGAUCCUUCACGUCAUAGAUUCCCUACUUUCAUUUUAAGAAUGCACAUUGAGAUUAAUCUAUGAUAGAGGCGUAAUCGAGUCUACUAGCUUUUCAAAGACUCGAAUUUUGAGCUUAAUUUCUAUUCUAGAUUUAAAUCAAGCUAAUGGAGAUUUUUUUAUUUAAUAGAAAAUGAAGUAGAUUUCACAUUUAUUCUUUGAGAUGAGAGUUUUAAAUUGAAGCAUAAAAAGGUGGGCCAAAUUGUAUGGAAAUGAGUGAAAGAAAAAAGGUUAAUGAAGUUUGCAAAGUGUUUAGCAUUAGAAUGUCAUAUUGGCGGCAGUAUAUAUAUAUGGAAAGGGAACUAAAGUUACGGCGUAUUGGGGCUUGCUUUUUUAUGUUAGAGAGGAAGCAUAAUGCUUGAUUAGUAUGUUUAAGCAAAUCCCAUAUUGCGUGGGUUUAUGAUACGAGUCACAAAAGCUCAAAUUUUUGAAGGCGAGGCCUAAUAAGCAAAUUCCCAGUCCAAUCAAGAAAUCCAUCCAUACUUAGUUGAAAAUCAGGCCAAAUUGUCAAAGUGACCUAAGUUGUAAAGUUUUAUUUUUAUUUUUAUUUUUAUUUAUUUAUUUACUUAGUUUAAAUUUUUAUGUCAAUAUUCAGUCCAAGAGUCCCAGAUAAAAUGACCUUUUACCGAAUUUUCAUAUUAAAAUAAUUAGGAAUUUUUUUUUAUUUUAGUUUUCUAAUUAGAUUAAGACUAGUUAUAAGGCCUAUUUAAAGGCAUGGCUGUCCACUUUGUUAAACACUUAUCAUUAUUAUUAAAAUUUCAGAUUUGUUGAGAGUAGAAUUUUCUUUGAGUUUUCUCCAAGAUUUCUCUCUUGAGUUUUCUUUAGAAGUUGUUUUAACAAUCUUGUGAUUGUGGGAGCCAUCUUCAACCUUCUUCUUGCCAUUGAUAUUCUUUGGAGGGGAGAUUAGAGCCGUUUGAAGGGAGUUGUGAGAUCUUUUGAGAUUUCAAGGCUUCUUAGGACUUAUCUUUUAAUUUCUUACUGUCAAUUCUUUUUUUAUUUCUACUUGUGCUGAAUCAUUAUCUAAUCUAUUUUCUGUUCUUAUUGUGUUUUCAGCCUUUUUCUAUCUUAAGGAAUCAGCCCAAAAAUUUCCAAUUUCUAGGGUUUUUCCAUACUCUUUUUGGGUGAAAUUAGAUUGUCGAAAUUUGGGAAAAACUAUCUUGGUGUUCAAUUGGGCAGAAUCACAAUCUCCUUGAGGGUUUCAAGAACCCUAACACUUAUUUCUAUUCUCAAUUUGAUUUUUUGCUGAUUUGGGGAUUUUAUUUCAGAUUUGGAAAUUUAAAGUUCUAAUCUUUUAAUUUUUCUGUUUCGUUUCGGAUCUGAUUGUUUAGGGUUUUCGUAGGAGUUUCCUGUGACUUGACAACUCGAUCUUGGUCCGCGCGCAACCCCGUAUCAUUUGGUAUCAGAUUUUGGGCGUUUUGGGUGUUCUUGGUUGAUUUCUAAACUGAUCUCUAUUUUUUUAAAGCAUAAACGGCAGUUUUACCCAGAAAAAUUGUUUAAAAAAAAUUCAUUUGAGUGGGUAAACGUUGUCCGAUUGAUCUGAAAUUUUACAUACAUGUUUUUGGCACUGUAAUUGAAUAUAAAAAAAUUAUUCCCGCAAAAAAAAUCAGUCAAAAAAGUUAAAAAAAUUAAAAAAAUACGAAAUUCAAUAAAAAUUUAAAAAAAGAUUUAGCGGGUUGAAUUUGGUGCCCAAAAUUUCCAGAUCAAAAAUUCAAUAUAUAAGGACACUCCAGAUUUAAUUUCGUGAUUUUUGGAGAUCGGGAACACCUCGAACGAAGUUGUCAAGUUACUCCGCAGUUUUUCGGGUUUUCUGUUUUCAGCAAUUUUUAUUGAUUCUUAGCUGUAGGUUUUCAUUUGUUUACCUUUAUUCUUCCUUUACGUUAUCUAACACCUUCUUGGUUCUUGUGUUAGUAGGAUUUAAACGUGUGCACAACUUCUUCCUCGGUGCAACACGAAUCAAUUGGUGUCUCGUCAGUUUUUGGCAUCCUAGUGCAAAUUAGGAUUCUUUGGUAGUUUGGUUCACACUCUCUAAUUGGUUGAUAUAAACUCUGAUAAAGAACUCACAAGAUUGAAUUCGACCUCAUUGAGAAUUUGAUUUUUUCUUUUUGAGUGAUUAACGGUGAGGUUUGAUAACUUUUAUUUUUGAGUGUUGAGUGUUUUGCAGGUUUUAAAAAAAAUGUCUACAGGUGAUAAUAAUAGUGACAUAUUUAAAAAAUUUCAGCAACAGUUGGAUGAACAGGCUGCUGCUCUUCGAGCUUUGACUGCUACCAUCAAUGAGGUACAAUUGAAUCAAGAACCUCAAUAUCGAAAUCCAAUCAAAGAAGAUAGGGAUAACCAACCCUAGAGGCGCGGCCCUCGACGUGUCACUAGAAUGGAUGAUGAUUUUCAUGAUCGUGGACAAUCAUCUUUGGCAAAACUAAAGAGCGAGCAGCAACGAGAACAUCUCUUUCAUACUCGCUGUCAUGUACAAGGUAAGCUUUGUAGAAUUAUUAUUGAUGGUGAAAGUUGCUCGAACAUAGCCAGCACGACGAUGGUGGAAAAGCUUUGGUUAACCACUACCAAGCAUCCACAACCUUAUCAACUAUAAGGGCUUAGCAACAAAGGCCAAUUUAGGGUCACUCAACAAGUGCGCAUCGCCUUUUCUAUCGGUAAGUAUCAAGACGAAGUUGUGUGCGACGUAAUGCCUAUUCAAGUCUGCCAUUUGUUGCUAGGAGAACCAUGGCAACUGGAUCGAAAAGUCACUCACGAUGGUCGUACCAAUAGGUAUUCUUUCAAGCAUCAAGGAAAGAAACUCACCUUAGUGCCGCUCACUCCAGAACAAGUCCAUGAGGACCAAAUCAAACUAAAAAAUUCUGUUAAAACAAGUGAGGAAAAAGAAAAAGAGAAUGAAAAAGAGCAAAAAGAGAUUGAGAGUGAAAAAGAAAUUGAAGAAAGAAGAGAAAAUGAAUUAGAAAAAGAAACAAAAGAAAAAGACGUGGAAAGGGUAGUGAGGAAUGUUUCCACUAACCAAGAUAUGAAUUUUUCUUGUGUUGCUAUUUUUCAGGUUUCCAAAAGAUCGAAAGAUAACUUUCAACUUCAAUACCUCUCAAAUGAAAGACGCUUUCAUACGAUCAACUUAGGCAAAGAUGAAAUCACACUACAUGAUCCCGAGGGUAAGCGAGGUAAGGAAAUUUUAGAAACCGAGUCCAGUGCAGAUUUGAAAAUUAUUGAUAAAACUUUUGGUGACUUAGUUCUUAAAAGAUCCCCUCAUUUUGAUCCGAUUAAUUGUUACUCUUCGAUUGUGGUUGAUAAAGUCAUUACGAAAAGAAGCGUGAUUUGUUAUUCUCUUGAUUUACAUUGUGUAAAAUCCUCGAAUUUGUCCAAAUCUGUUUUGGAGAAUAAGGUAACGAAAUUUUCCAAAUUUGUUUUAAAUUUAUAUUCGUGCCUUAAACAGUUUAUGUGGUCGUACAUGAAGUUUGAGUUCCAUUUGAUAAAGGUUAACUCAACAACGGAGAUUCGACUACACUAUGCCCCCGAUGAGCGAAUGCUUGUUUUAAAUGAAAAAGGUAAAAUCGACCCUUAUUCUUCUGCUUAUCGAGGUAAGAUGCUUGAAACCUUUGAAACACUUUUGUACUCCUCGGAUAGUGAUAAAGAUCGUGUUGAUGAACACUUAGAUCGAAACGUGCUUGACUGUCCUAUUUUAUUUAUUGAUGAUCUAUCUGUUUUGAUGGUUGAUAAAAAGAUUCUUGUUUUUGAUAAUGCAUGUGUGAGUGAAUCUAUAGACCGUCGAUUAAUGCAUGGUAUGAUUAUGCAACUCUGUGAACCAUGUGAAUCUUUUCAAAUACCUACUUGUGACGAUUAUGUUUACCAUUUGAUUUAUUACUCGCAAUUUAUUCAUGGUUUGUGAGAACAAUGUGAGACGACUGAAUGCCUUAAAACAUGUCCAUCUUUGUUUCAAAUAUUUGACGAGGCAGUGGUGAGUAAAUUAGAUUGUUUGCAUGGUAAUCUGAAUCUGUCCAUUCACAUGCGUUAUACCUGUUCUGUUAUGCUUAUGAUUGGACUACAAGCUUGUUUCCGUUGCUAUUUACUAUCUCAUGACUAUUCUUUUCAGUGGACUCAAUUGCCAUUAGUCCCGUUCGAUAGAGGAAAGUCGAGUUCAUUUGAUUUUUCAGAUUCGAUGACGAAUCUUUUUGAGGAAGGGGGGAAUGAUACGAGUCACAAAAGUCCAAAUUCUUGAAGGCGAGGCCCAAUAAGAAAAUUCCCAGCCCAAUCAAGAAAUCCAUCCAUACUUAGUUGAAAAUCAGGCCAAAUUGUCAAAGUGACCCAAGUUGUAAAGUUUUAUUUUUAUUUUUAUUUUUAUUUAUUUAUUUACUUAAUUUAAAUUUUUAUGUCAAUAUUCAGUCCAAGAGUCCCAGAUAAAAUGACCUUUUACCGAAUUUCCAUAUUAAAAUAAUUAGGAGUUUUUUUUAUUUUAGUUUUCUAAUUAGAUUAGGACUAGUUAUAAGGCCUAUUUAAAGGCAUGGUUGUUCACCUUUGUUAAACACUUAUCAUUAUUAUUAAAAUUUCAG